GUAAGGAAUAUUGGACAAUGGACGCAAGUCUGAUCCAGCCAUGCCGCGUGAAGGAUUAAGGUCCUCUGGAUUGUAAACUUCUUUUAUAAGGGACGAAAAAAGGCUUUUCUAAGUCGUCUGACGGUACCUUAUGAAUAAGCACCGGCUAACUCCGUGCCAGCAGCCGCGGUAAUACGGAGGGUGCAAGCGUUAUCCGGAUUCACUGGGUUUAAAGGGUGCGUAGGCGGGCAGGUAAGUCAGUGGUGAAAUCCUAGAGCUUAACUCUAGAACUGCCAGUGAUACUAUCUGUCUUGAAUAUUGUGGAGGUAAGCGGAAUAUGUCAUGUAGCGGUGAAAUGCUUAGAUAUGACAUAGAACACCUAUUGCGAAGGCAGCUUACUACGCAUAUAUUGACGCUGAGGCACGAAAGCGUGGGGAUCAAACAGGAUUAGAUACCCCAGUAGUCC
rnacentral:rRNA from 1 species